rnacentral:lncRNA from 1 species
GUCAGUCCUGACUGAGACCUGCUCCCAGGGCAGGACUCUGGGCUUCAGGAGCGUGGUCCUGAGCCGCAGGGACAUGGUGGCUGGUCUGCAACAGGCUUCCCAUCCCGUGGACAUGUGGACACUCCAGAGCCCUGGAAUUUCAGCAACAUCAGCCAACGGCCACAGGGACAACCACAGUAAAGCCAGCCUGCCAGCAGAAAAGUAACAGACUGAGCUAAAAUCACCUCUGGAACUUCCUGUCUACCUGGACACCUGUCUACAGGGCCUGAGAGAGGAACUGACACUUUCUCCUCCAGCAGAGCCAUGUCAGGAAGGAGCCUCUCCGGCAAAGGCUGCCCAGGCCCACCCGGACUCCACUCAGAGCCUGAGCCCUUGGUUCCCGUGAAGCUCUGAGGGCAGUCUCAAGACAUGGCUUUGAGCAAACUACAGAUGUGCUUCCUUUCAUCUUGAAAUCCAGCCUGGGAGCAAGCUGUGAGCCUACUGCCUUCCCUCUCCCACCUGCAGCUCCCGGGCCCUGUGCACAUUUGUUUAUCUGGAUGCUUGCUGAGUGCACACCAUGCUCACCUGUCUGGUCAUCUAUUUCCUAGAAGCUUUGGGGGCCAGAUCCUGGGACGAACCAGGCAUCUCCAGAAUUCCUUCCCCAGCAGGCGGGUUACUUUGAGGCCAGAGCUUACUCCUGGCUAAAGACUCACUGCAAGAUUGACUGUGAUUGAUUUCUAAUCUGGGGGCGACCCGCGAUGGCGCAGCCCCUUCACCAGAUGUGUUUGUGGUGGAAGUUAUCCAAGUGACACGGCACCAAAACCUGUGAUCGGUGGCAAAUCCGUACAGGUCUGCGGCAGCCGCAAUUCUCACCUCCUCAGAAGAAAGAAUUCGACCAAGGGGCAGAAGGCAGAAGAAGAGACCGAGACAAGUUUUAGAGCAGGAGUGACAUUUAUUAAAAAGCUUUAGAGCAGGAAUGAAAGGAAGGAAAGGACGCUUGGAAGGGGGCCAAGCAGGUGACUUGAAGGACAGGUGUGUGGUUUGACCUUCGACUUGGGGUUUUAUAUGUUGGCACGCUUCCGGGGUCUGGCCUGCCUUCUCCCCUGAUUCUUCCCUUGGGGUGGGCUGUCCACAUGUGCAGUGGCUGCCAGCCCUUGGGAGGAGCACGCGCUAUGUGUUUACUGGAGUUGCGCGCCUGCUUACCUGAGGCGUUGUUCCCUUACCUGUCAAAUGUCCCUAGGAGGCCAUAGACCAGUUACACUCCACAAUUUUGCCUUUUAAUACACAUGCUUGAGCCCACUCACCCAAUGCCUGAGGUCUUAUGGGGAAGGAUUUUUCUGUCUGUUGGGAGGCUGCCUUUCCCUGGCGUUGGCUGUGACCAAUUAUUAUUUUAGAGAGACAGUUAACAGCCACCCGACCAACACUGAUGGUCGCCUGACAUUCCUGGUUGGGAGGGCCCUCUCCUGCCCUGCUCAUGUCUGACCAGCUGCCUACUGUAACAGAUGGAACAAUAACUCAAGAGAAGCCAUCAGAGCAGGUCACCUGGCACCUCCUGGCCCCUGCCUCGCCUGCAUUCCAGACCCCCUCUACACGUCCCUCUACAAAUUGAAGAGUGGCCAUUUUUGGAAAGGAUUCCGGCCAAUCUCCCCCUUGCUAGCAUGAGAAUGAAGCUCACGCUCUUUCUUUUUUCUUUCUUUUCUUUUUUUUUUUGAGACGGAG